rnacentral:rRNA from 1 species
UUAUGGCUCAGGAUGAACGCUAGCUACAGGCUUAACACAUGCAAGUCGAGGGGCAUCAUGGAGUUUGCUUGCAAACUCUGAUGGCGACCGGCGCACGGGUGAGUAACGCGUAUCCAACCUUCCCUAUAGUAGAGGAUAGCCCGGCGAAAGUCGGAUUAAUACUCUAUGUUUUCCGUUGCAGACAUCUAAGAUGGAACAAAGGCUUGCCGCUAUAGGAUGGGGAUGCGUCUGAUUAGGUAGUCGGCGGGGUAACGGCCCACCGAGCCAUCGAUCAGUAGGGUUCUGAGAGGAAGGUCCCCCACAUUGGAACUGAGACACGGUCCAAACUCCUACGGGAGGCAGCAGUGAGGAAUAUUGGUCAAUGGGCGAGAGCCUGAACCAGCCAAGUAGCCGUGCAGGACGACGGCCCUAUGGGUUGUAAACUGCCUUUAUGCGGGGAUAAAGUUCACUACGUGUAGUGUUUUGUAGGUACCGCAUGAAUAAGGACCGGCUAAUUCCGUGCCAGCCGCGGC